GGGGUUGUGGCUCAGUGGUAGAGCACUCACCUAGCAUGUGUGAAGCACUGGGUUUAAUCCUCAGCACCACA
rnacentral:tRNA from 1 species